rnacentral:rRNA from 1 species
CACGUAGGGGACGAGCGUUGUCCGGAUUUACUGGGCGUAAAGAGCGCGCAGGCGGUCGUUCAAGUCGCGUGUGAAAGCCCCCGGCUCAACUGGGGAGGGUCACGCGAUACUGAUCGACUCGAAGGCAGGAGAGGGAAGUGGAAUUCCCGGUGUAGUGGUGAAAUGCGCAGAUAUCAGGAGGAACACCGGUGGCGAAGGCGGGUCUCUGGGCCGAUACUGACGCUGAGGAGCGAAAGCGUGGGGAGCGAACAGG